GAGAAAUUUUAGGUUAAGAAACAUGUUACCUCUCCGAAUCCAGAAACUGAAAUGUUUGGAGAAGACACCAUGAAGAUGCCUCCACAGACCACAAGCUGCAUGAGAAGAUCAAGAAUGAACUUUGGGUGUGGUUGAUUGAACAUUUAUUUGGACAUGUGACAGAGAAUUACAUGAGAUCCUGGGCCAAGAUUCUAAGGUCCCAACUGAAAAAAACAAGACUUCUGGGAGAAGCUUUGGGAGUUAGCUGUGUUCCAUCUUUCUACAAGAUUUCUGGCCCUUUGUGAGAUACCAGCUUGAGAGGAGAAAAAUUGCUUGAACUGGCUGCUGGCAGCUGGACAAAAGACCAGAGAAGAAUCAUCACUUCUAUGCUGGAUCUACCUUGAAUUUUACCUCUGGGAUCUUGGCUCAUUUACUGGAUUUUGUUUUGUGAGAUUCUGUUUGGGGAAACAACUUAUUUAGCCUAGAGAAGUUAGCCAUUAGGAUAUUAAUAAGGGAAUUUAUAUUUGGGGAUAAGAUUAAGAACAUUUCCUUCUCCUUUGCUACUAUCCUUCCUCUAUCAUUCCCAUCAAUAACUUAAACUAUUUAGAUGUUUCCCUCUUGUCUCUUUCCCUUAAACAAUCCCAUAAUAACAAAUAUCAACCAGCAAGAAUGGAUUAACCCACUAAAAUCAGUAAAUAAUAAUUUUGGUUUCUUUUCUGUAUAAUAUUUCAAUCAAAACCACUGAGGAAGAGAGAAUAUCUCUUUGGAAGGAUAAUAAGACAUUCAUCUUUUCCAAAACUCUCUAAGGAAUAUGACAUCUUCUUGCAUCAACAUUUAUUUUUUCCUCUUUUUCCUUUUCCUUUUUUUUUAAACACAUGAGGAUAAGAAACUGUUAGAAUUUUUUCUUAUACUGUAUUCAUUCUUGUAUAUUAGGGAGAAUUACUGUGUAUUCUUGAGUCUGGGAUCUGGGUCAGAGAUACCAUCCAGUCUGCUGCUUCUUGUGUUUUCUUUGUUCUUGGGAAUCCCAAGAAAUGUUUUUCUUUUUAAUAGAAUUUGGCUAAUAAAUAAAAGGGAGAAGGUUUCUUUUCCUGUGUA
rnacentral:lncRNA from 1 species